AUUGAACGCUGGCGGCAUGCCUUACACAUGCAAGUCGAACGGCAGCACGGGAGCAAUCCUGGUGGCGAGUGGCGAACGGGUGAGUAAUAUAUCGGAACGUGCCCAGUCGUGGGGGAUAACGCAGCGAAAGCUGUGCUAAUACCGCAUACGAUCUACGGAUGAAAGCGGGGGAUCGCAAGACCUCGCGCGAUUGGAGCGGCCGACAUCAGCUUAGCUAGUUGGUGGGGUAAAAGCCCACCAAGGCGACGAUCUGUAGCUGGUCUGAGAGGACGACCAGCCACACUGGAACUGAGACACGGUCCAGACUCCUACGGGAGGCAGCAGUGGGGAAUUUUGGACAAUGGGCACAAGCCUGAUCCAGCAAUGCCGCGUGCAGGAUGAAGGCCUUCGGGUUGUAAACUGCUUUUGUACGGAACGAAACGGCUCUUUCUAAUAAAGAGGGCUAAUGACGGUACCGUAAGAAUAAGCACCGGCUAACUACGUGCCAGCCGCCGCAGUAA
rnacentral:rRNA from 1 species